rnacentral:tRNA from 1 species
CGGACCGUGGCUCAGCCCGGUAGAGCGCUUGCUUGGGGUGCAAGAGGUCGUGGGUUCAAAUCCCGCCGGUCCGACCA